AUGCUAAUGUUCAAUUCACAAACAGGCUGAAGAUAACCAAAAGAAGAAUCCUGCAACUGAACCACCUUUGCAGUUUACAGUGGGCUUAUUCUCUCCAUGGCAAAGACCUUUUCCACACAAGAGGCAUAACAGAAGACAUUAAUUUUGCUCCUGUAGCAACCAGUAAUUACAAACCCUUACUUCUGCUGAGACUCUUGGACUUGGCCCAGUCGAAUUGAGGGGACCCAAGCUGGAACUGCAGUGGGUGGUUUCUAAUAUUGCUGUGGAUGAAGGCACACACAACACAUAACUGAAGACAAGAUUGCAAGCUUGUUCUUAUUGCUGUGGUCUCAUCUUCAUGUGUCAGAAGGGCUUGAAGUUUCAUCAUCAGAAUCUUGGAAAACCACCAACCAAACAAGGCAGUGCCCACUCCAGCUCGGAUCUCUUUUAACACUGAUAUCCACAACGACUUUUUGCACGCAUGUGUGACAUAGUUUGUGUUGCUGGGUGCUCUGCUGCUAAUCUGCCUGGUUUACCUAGGGAUUGGUGAACUGUGCUUAUAAUGAACUUAUUCUUUCUUUCAGCAAGGAUGAAGAUGUCUGUGAUUGCUAACCUGUAUUUCUGCACUGACUGAGAUGCAUCUCAUUGUAACAUUCUGAGGGAUGAGAGAUUGCUCAUCUUAAAAAGAAGUGAUUCAUGGUGCUUUAGAAGCAGCUUCUACUGAAAUUCCAUGCAUUUUCAGAAAACUGACACCCUCCUCAUCAUGUAGAGGUGUGAAAGUAUGGGUGCAUGCUGAUAUCAUAGCUCUUUCAUGGGUGAGAACAACAGGUGGCUGCUCAUUUUUGAAGGCUCUCCAUCUUUGUUCUAUUAGCAGGACACAUCUGGUGCUUCCACAAAGGGUUUUCAUAUGGAGAGUGUUAUCAGUAAUUCUUCCAUUCUUUUUGGUGCAGCAAGGUCCCAGCUUAAAUGCUGUUCUAGUUCUGGUCUUUGCUGUUCAAAAGAGGGACAGGAUGUGAUAAGGGAUGACAGGUGUAUAAAUACUUGAUGGAGAAGGCUAAGGAAGAUGGAUCAAGAGGCUUCUUAGAGGUAUCCAGUGGCAGGACAAGAGGCAAUGGGCACAAACUGAAAUAUAGAAAAUUCUGUGUAAAGAAGAGUCUGUUAUCUUAAGGUUGAUUGAACGUGGGGACAAGCUGUGUAGAGAGAUAGUGCAGUCUCCUUCCUUGGACAUCUUAAAAAAAGUAAUGGACGGAGUCUUACGCAACCUUUAGAUGACCCUGCUUUGUGCAGGGGAGGUUGACUACAUGACCUUAGAUGUCCUUUCCCACCUCAAUUAUCCUUUGAUUCUGCAGAUGGUUUUGGGCACUCUUUUUUGCAAAUGCAGGCCUGCAUUUAAUUCUCUCUGCCAGUCCUAUAUAUAUUUCUGGUUUUAUUAGAUUUGUGUAGCCACACAGGUACGGUACUUGCGUAUGUCUAUUCCAGUAAAUUUUCCAACUCUUUGUACCCACAAGUUAUUUUUGAUGUUCCUUUGUUGUGAUGAUAAUAGAGUCGUUUAAGGUCCUGGAA